rnacentral:rRNA from 1 species
GAGGACCGUGCGCGUCUGUCCGGUAUCGUCCAAGUCUCCAUGAAUGGGGCCAGCUACCCAGAGAGGGUGUCAGGCCCGUAGGACUGAGCCGCGACGGCGUAUUGGGUCUCUCCUUAGAGUCGGGUUGCUUGAGAGUGCAGCCCUAAGUGGGAGGUAAACUCCUUCUAAGGCUAAAUACGGCCACGAGACCGAUAGCGAACAAGUACCGCGAGGGAAAGUUGAAAAGAACUUUGAAGAGAGAGUUCAAUAGUGCGUGAAACCGUUCAGGGGGUUAAACGGGUGGGCCCUCGAAGGUCGAACGCUCCCUACUCGCGUCUCCGCUCGUCGGUCCGUGCCGCUUUUUCCGAUCUCGCUACGGGACGGAGCGGUGCGGUAACUGUGGCGAGCGGGGGCGUUUAGUUAGGGGGCCAGUAGGACUCCGCAACCGUCUGGACGAGUCGUCAGAAGGGCUCUGGUAGAAAGCCUCCUCGCGGGGUGGACUCCGGGGUUCCGGGCGAUCUCUCCGGCCGUGAACCGGCAUUCCACUCGGCUGGCGUCCGUGACGAGCCUCCCUUCACGGGGGGGUUGUCGGUUGCGGGCGUCACCGGGGGACGCUUAGCGGAGAGUAGUGUCGGGUCCCACCCGACCCGUCUUGAAACACGGACCAAGGAGUCUAACAUGUGCGCGAGUCGUCGG